rnacentral:rRNA from 1 species
AACGUAUCCUUGAGUGGGGGACAACCCGUCGAAAGACAGGCUAAUACCGCAUACGCUCGAGAGAGGAAAGUGGGGGACCGCAAGGCCUCACGCUGAAGGAGCGGCCGAUAUUCGAUUAGCUAGUUGGUGGGGUAAAGGCUCACCAAGGCUACGAUCGAUAGCUGGUCUGAGAGGAUGAUCAGCCACACUGGAACUGAGACACGGUCCAGACUCCUACGGGAGGCAGCAGUGGGGAAUUUUGGACAAUGGGGGCAACCCUGAUCCAGCCAUUCCGCGUGAGU